rnacentral:rRNA from 1 species
GAUGAACGCUGGCGGCGUGCCUAAUACAUGCAAGUCGAGCGAACAGACGAGGAGCUUGCUCCUUUGACGUUAGCGGCGGACGGGUGAGUAACACGUGGGUAGCCUACCUAUAAGACUGGGAUAACUUCGGGAAACCGGAGCUAAUACCGGAUAAUAUUUCGAACCGCAUGGUUCGAUAGUGAAAGAUGGCUUUGCUAUCACUUAUAGAUGGACCUGCGCCGUAUUAGCUAGUUGGUAAGGUAACGGCUUACCAAGGCAACGAUACGUAGCCGACCUGAGAGGGUGAUCGGCCACACUGGAACUGAGACACGGUCCAGACUCCUACGGGAGGCAGCAGUAGGGAAUCUUCCGCAAUGGGCGAAAGCCUGACGGAGCAACGCCGCGUGAGUGAUGAAGGUCUUCGGAUCGUAAAACUCUGUUAUUAGGGAAGAACAAACGUGUAAGUAACUGUGCACGUCUUGACGGUACCUAAUCAGAAAGCCACGGCUAACUACGU